CCUCUGACCGACGAAGAAAUUAUCUCUUAUAUUCUCGCCGGCCUAGAUGCAGACUAUGAUCCUCUGGUCACAUCUGUGACUACACGGGCCGAACCAAUGACUCUUAACGAUCUCUUUGCGCACUUGUUGAGUCAUGAAA